rnacentral:lncRNA from 1 species
AUGACCGGGAACUUCUCCGCCAGGCGAGCGUACAGCCAGUCGAAGUGCUUGUAGCGCCGAUGCACCGGCACCUGCGUGUGCGUGGGCACCAGCUUGUAGGAGAUGUAGCUCUUCAUGCCCUUGAACUUGGUCUGCUUGGUGGGGUCGUCGAUGGUGCACUGGAACGGGUAGGGGUUCUCCUGCCACUCGGGGCCGUAGGGCCCCAGCACCACGCACAGCUUGUCCCCGUCCUUCACGAAGCCUGACGCCUCCCCCAGCACGAAGGCCUCCCCGCCGGACUUGACGAAGGUGGAGAAGCGGUUGAGGUUGCGGCUCACUGUGGCCGAGCUCUUGGCCCCCGACGGGUGGUGCUGCGGAGGCGCCGAGCCGCUGCGGGAGCCCAGGGACAGGUCGGAGCGCGUGGACAGGCGGUAGCGGCCGGCUGCGCCCACACCCGCCGAGGACGAGCCGUCGAGGUCCGGGUAUGCUCCGCUGCCCAGAGCGCCCGGCUCGUCAGCCACCGUGGAGCUGUCGUCCCACUCGUCGUCCCAGUCAUCAUCGCUGCCCUGGCUGGCCUGGUAGCCGCCGUAGAGCUGCUGAGGCGACGGCUGCAGGGCGCCCCACCGUACGGGAAGCCCGCGCCUGGCGGCUGGAAGGUGCUCGGAGGCGGCGCCUGCUGUGGCUGCAGCAGCGGCUGGAAGGUGUCUGGCGGCGGCUUGAAGGAGGCGGGCGGCGCGGCGGGCAGGGCUCGAAGCCCCGGGGGCACAUUGGCGUAGCGUGCCGGGGCGCUCGGGCCGCCGUCUCCCGCCAGGCUGGGCUCUGGGGCGCGGAUCACCUGCACGUAGGAGGCUGGGAAGAGGCCGCGGUCGCCGCGGCUGUUGACCCCUUCGAGCCAGCCCUCGAUGUCCUGCUCGCUGCACAGGCUCAGCACCUCGUGCUCCCGCAGCGAGAUCUCGCCCGGGUUCUCAGACCUGAAGUCGUACAGCGCCCGGGCGCGCAACGCCAUGGUCCCGGCGCCCUGACUAGCGGUCCCGACUCCCGGCGUCCCGAGCCGAGGCCCACCUAAGGAGCCCGCGGUGCAGCUCGACCCUGGCGCGCGGACUGGAGCCCCAAAGCGGCGAACCCACGCUGCCCGGACCCGCCGGUCGCGCCCUCCGCUCGCGGUGCCUCCACUUCGCAGU